rnacentral:sRNA from 1 species
AAAACAAGAAUACCUGUGGUCCACCGAUUACAAAUUUCCCUGAUGGUUGCAUAUGGUACUUUGUUUCAUUGUCUAAGUAUUUUUUAGGAACAACAACUUUCACGACCUUUUCCAUUAAAUCUGUCCUUAGUUGAUCCAAAGUCACAUUUUCAUCAUGUUGAGCAGAGAUCACAACUGAAUGAACUCGUAGAGGAACACAAGUUCCUUGGUCAUAUUUGUACUCUAUUGUAACCUAAAGGUGGACAGUAUAAAACAUGUGAUGUUAUUUUGAUUGUUUUAAUAGUACACAUUUUCUAUGAAGCGUAAAUAACAUAAACAUCCGCCAUUCAGUCAACUAAAUGUUAACUUAAUGGUCUUCGGAAGUGACUGAAUGCAGAAUAAUAUCAGUCAGUUUCAUUUCAGUACCCAUUCAGUAACAUUUCAGUAACUUUUCAGUAACCCUUCAAUCACAUUUUAGCAACAAUCCAGUCACUAUUCAGUCAUUAGCUACUAAAUGGCAGAGAUGCAUUUUGUGGUGCAAGUUUGAAGUACACGAUUAUUCAUUAUAUAAUGGACUUUAUGUUUAUCAAGUUUUUACCUGUGUCUUUGUAUCUGGUCUUGCCCAUUUUAAUUCUCCUGAUCUCCUAAGAUGUCCAAUUCGUUCAUUCAGUUUAUGGGCCAAGACAAGGGUCAAGGGCAUACAUUCUUCUGUCUCAUCUGUAGCAUACCCAAACAUAAGUCCCUAUAAAUAUAAAGAUAUCCAUUGUAGAGUUGUACAUAUACAUCGAUAAUCAUUGGCUUAAAAAAAAUAUGCAACUU